GCGUUGUUCGGAUUUAUUGGGCGUAAAGGGUGCGUAGCUGGCGCGCUAAGUCAGGUGUGAAAUCUCGGGGCUUAACUCCGAAACUGCAUUUGAUACUGGCGUGCUUGAGGACUGGAGAGGAGAGUGGAAUUUACGGUGUAGCAGUGAAAUGCGUAGAGAUCGUAAGGAAGGCCAGUGGCGAAGGCGGGUCUCUGGACAGUUCCUGACACUGAGGCACGAAGGCCAG
rnacentral:rRNA from 1 species